UGAUGGUGGUGAUGGUGAUGAUGGUGAUGAUGAUGAUGAUGAUGAUGAUACACAAGUAGUUAGUGGGGAUGGUGUCCACCACUAUUCCGAUUGGUUGUCGACGACAUCGACAUCAUCAUCAUCAUCAUCAUCAUCA
rnacentral:pre_miRNA from 1 species